GAUGAACGCUGGCGGCGUGCCUAACACAUGCAAGUCGAGCGGACAGGCCAUGAGCUUGCUCCUCUGACGUUAGCGGCGGGCGGGAGAGUAACGUGUGGAUCACCCACCUAUAUGACGGGGAUAACUACGGGAAACCGGAUCUAAUAGCGGAUAAUAUAUUGAACCGCGGGGUUCAAUGGUGAGAGACGGUGUUGGUGGCACUUCUAGAUGGAUCCGCGCCGGAUUGGCUGGUUGGUACGGUAACGGCUUACGAAGGCGACGAUGCGUGGCCGACGUGAGAGGCUGAUCGGCGACACUGGAGCUGAGACACGGUCCAGACUCCUACGGGAGGCAGCAGUCGGGAAUGUUCCGCAAUGGGCGAAAGCCUGACGCAGUGACGCCGCGUGAGUGAUGAAGGUCUUCGGAGCGUAAAACCCUGUUAUUGGGGAAAAACAAAUGUGUAAGUAACUAUGCCCGUAGUGACGGUACCUAAUCAGAAAGCCCCGGCUAACUACGUG
rnacentral:rRNA from 1 species